rnacentral:rRNA from 1 species
UACGGGGGGGGCAAGCGUUGUUCGGAAUUACUGGGCGUAAAGGGUUCGUAGGUGGCUUGCUAAGUCAGACGUGAAAUCCCUCAGCUUAACUGGGGAACUGCGUCUGAUACUGGAUGGCUUGAGUUUGGGAGAGGGAUGCGGAAUUCCAGGUGUAGCGGUGAAAUGCGUAGAUAUCUGGAGGAACACCGGUGGCGAAGGCGGCAUCCUGGACCAACACUGACACUGAUGAGCGAAAGCCAGGGAGCAAACGGG